AGUUCUUAUAGUUGAAGUUUACAACGGUGGUUUUUCAAGUCAUUGGUUUUGGUUAGAGUCCGAGUAAGAAUUA
rnacentral:tRNA from 1 species